UUGUUCUAGAAUGCGACCUGAACGCACUCCAUGUUGUCUCCUCCAAUCAGAUGGAUAGUAAAGCAACUUUAUCCAAGAAUUGUUUGUAUUUGUUGAUCGUUGAAUGCCCAAGACCAAUGCACAUACAAGAAGCUUGUGAACCCCCAAAUUCUUUCUUGAGUAAGCAAACAUAUUUGACCACAUAUUUUUUAUUUUUUUUGUAAAUUGAUCAUACAAUUUAUUGAUCUCUAAGCUCUGUAAUAAUGUUAUCCUUUAUUUAUUUUUGUGCAGACAUAGGAUGACAAAGAAAUUAUAUCGAGGAUUGUGUACUAACGUUUAUAAUUAUGGGUUUGUGCUAGCUAUUUCUAUUUUGAAGCAAUUCCUUUAGGAUUGAUGAUUACAUGAUAUUUAUUUUUACGACAAAGCUAAUUUCCAGUCCGCUGAAUUUUUGCAACAAAUCCGAACGCUUUGGAUGCUGUCCGUUAUAGAUCGUACGACCAUCACGCAUCAAAAUAUUUAGUUCAUUGAUAUUUACUUCCUCCGUUUUAAAAUAGAUAACUCAAGUUUGUAUUAAAAUUAGUACAAAGUUGGAUCAUCUAUUUUGAAACCGAGGGCAGCCUUGCCACCGCCUAGUGAAAAAACUGCUUCGUCCGUCUCUCUUCUUCGAAUCGCCACACAGCGUCCUCCCAACCCGGCCGCCGCGGAAGAAGCCGCCGCCGUCCGAGCACUCUUCGAAGGCCUCCUCCAGGAGCGCGACCAUCCCGUCCGCCUGGCCGGCCCGCUCCCCGUCUCCUCCCCCACGCUCCCCACCACCGGCGCUGAGACCGAGUCAUCCGGCGACGACGAGGCCGCAUCUGAAUCCGGCGACUCCUCCCGCCCCGCGCGCGCCCGCCGUGACCUGAGGUGAGUGUGUGAGUGGUUCCGAUGCACUAGUCUCUCUCUCUCCAUAUUCUCUUCGAUCCGGUGCUAGCUGAUCUGAUCCCGACGGUUUUCUCUGUUGUUGUCCGCGAGGGGCCGGGCGAGCGGGGUGCGCAGUGGACGGAGUUCGUCUCGUGGGAGCCCAGGGCGUUCGUCUACCACAAGUUCCUGAUUUCUUAGCAAGAUCAGACAGACAAAAAGGAAGGUUCACACAAGAUACAACAUGGGUGUCAAGGUGCGCAUAGGUGCAUUCACAAAGAGAAUUCUGAAGCUUCAUGGCGUGCCCCACCAGACCACGUUGUCGACGAGUGCGUCCGUCACCACUCCCUUCGCCAUCGUGGCUCACAUUUUUUGUUCUACAACAGUUGAUGUAGCGUCUUUCACUGAAUCUUCCACUGUUCAGAUUACCAACACGACUCUUAUGUAAUUAUCAUGGUGCUAAUGCUAUAGUUAUCAGGGUGCUAAUGAUAUAUUUAUCACACUUGCUUAUGGUAAAAUUACCAUGUUGAAUUUUUCAAUGGAGACAUAUAUGUUUUAACA